rnacentral:rRNA from 1 species
UACAUGGGGUGCAAACGUUGCUCGGAAUUAUUGGGCGUAAAGCGCACGUAGGCGGUUCGUUAAGUCGGAUGUGAAAGCCCUCGGCUCAACUGAGGAAGUGCACCCGAAACUGGCGAGCUUGAGUACGAAAGAGGAUCGCGGAAUUCCCGGUGUAGAGGUGAAAUUCGUAGAUAUCGGGAGGAACACCGGUGGCGAAGGCGGCGAUCUGGGUCGAUACUGACGCUGAGGUGCGAAAGCGUAGGGAGCAAACAGG